GAUGAACGCUGGCGGCAUGCCUAAUACAUGCAAGUCGAGCGAAGCGGGGACGGGUGAGUAACACUUGGGUCACUUCCUAUAAGACUGGGAUAACUUUGGGCACCAGGAGCUAAACCCAUUCCUUAUAGAUGGGUCUGCGCUGCAUUAGCUUGUUGGUUAGGUAACGGCUUACCACGGCAACGAUGCAUAGUCGACCUGAGAGGGGAGGCGGCAACACUGGAAAUGAGACACGGUCCAGACUCCAACGGGAGGCAGCAGUAGGGAAUCUUACGCAAUGGGCGAAAGCCUGACGGAGCAACGCCGAGUGAGUGAAGAAGGUCUUCGGAUCGUAAAACUCUGUUAUUAGGGAAGAGGUAGCUAAAGAGAAAGCAACGGCUAACUACGUGCCAGCAGCCGCGGUAAUAC
rnacentral:rRNA from 1 species